rnacentral:rRNA from 1 species
AUUGAACGCUGGCGGCAUGCCUUACACAUGCAAGUCGAACGGCAGCACGGGAGCAAUCCUGGUGGCGAGUGGCGGACGGGUGAGUAAUAUAUCGGAACGUGCCCAGCCGUGGGGGAUAACGUAGCGAAAGCUUCCCUAAUACCGCGUACGAACUAUGGAUGAAAGCGGGGGAUCGCAAGACCUCGCGCGAUUGCAGCGGCCGAUAUCUGAUUAGGUAGUUGGUGGGGUAAAAGCCUACCAAGGCUCCGAUCAGUAGCUGGUCACGGAGAACGACCAGCCACACUGGGACUGAGACACGGCCCAGACUCCUACGGGAGGCAGCAGUGGGGAGUUUUGGACAAUGGGGGGAAGCCUGAUCCAGCAAUGCCGCGCGAGUGAAGAAGGCCUUCGGGUUGUAAAGCUCUUUUGUCAGGGAAGAAACGGUAGUAGCGAAUAACUAUUACUGAUGACGGUACCGGAAGAAUAAGCACCGGCUAACUACGUGCCAGCCGCCGCCGUAA